rnacentral:rRNA from 1 species
AAUGAACGCUGGCGGCAGGCCUAAAACAUGCAAGUCGAACGCCCUAGCAAUAGGGAGUGGCGCACGGGUGAGUAACAUGUGGGAAUAUGCCUUUUGGUACGGAACAACGUUUGGAAACGAACGCUAAUACCGUAUGGUCCCUCCGGGGUAAAGAUUAUCGCCAAAAGAUUAGCCCGCACUAGAUUAGCUAGUUGGUAAGGUAAUGGCUUACCAAGGCGACGAUCUAUAGCUGUUCUGAGAGGAAGAUCAGCCACACUGGGACUGAGACACGGCCCAGACUCCUACGGGAGGCAGCAGUUAGGAAUAUUGGACAAUGGGCGCAAGCCUGAUCCAGCCAUGCCGCGUGAGUGAUGAGGGCCUUCGGGUUGUAAAGCUCUUUAGCCGACGAAUAUAAUGACUGUAGUCGGAGAAUAAGCCCCGGCUAACUUCGUGCCAGCCGCCGCCGUAACAC